rnacentral:rRNA from 1 species
CCUACGGGGGGCUGCAGUGGGGAAUAUUGCACAAUGGGCGCAAGCCUGAUGCAGCCAUGCCGCGUGUGUGAAGAAGGCCUUCGGGUUGUAAAGCACUUUCAGCGGGGAGGAAGGCGUUAAGGUUAAUAACCUUGGCGAUUGACGUUACCCGCAGAAGAAGCACCGGCUAACUCCGUGCCAGCAGCCGCGGUAAUACGGAGGGUGCAAGCGUUAAUCGGAAUUACUGGGCGUAAAGCGCACGCAGGCGGUCUGUCAAGUCGGAUGUGAAAUCCCCGGGCUCAACCUGGGAACUGCAUUCGAAACUGGCAGGCUAGAGUCCUGUAGAGGGGGGUAGAAUUCCAGGUGUAGCGGUGAAAUGCGUAGAGAUCUGGAGGAAUACCGGUGGCGAAGGCGGCCCCCUGGACAAAGACUGACGCUCAGGUGCGAAAGCGUGGGGAGCAAACAGGAUUAGAUACCCGAGUAGUC